CCCUUAGAUGUUCUGGGCCGCACGCGCGCUACACUGAUACAUUCAACGAGUAUACAACCUUGGCUGAAAGGCCUGGGUAAUCUUUUGAAACUGUAUCGUGAUGGGGAUAGAUUAUUGCAAUUUUUAAUCUUCAACGAGGAAUUCCUAGUAAACGCAAGUCAUCAGCUUGCAUUGAUUACGUCCCUGCCCUUUGUACACACCGCCCGUCGCACCUACCGAUUGAAUGGUCCGGUGAAAUUUUCGAACCGUUGCAAUGUCGCCUUCAUUGGAGACGCUGCAGUGGGAAGUUAAUUAAACCUUNCNAUUUAUNGGAAGGUGAANUCGUANCA
rnacentral:rRNA from 1 species